AUGAAACAUCCUCCAGAGGUGCUGACACUGCUGCUGAAAAGAUUUAAGUUUGAUUACCAUGUCAAGAAAUGUGUUAAAAUUCAAAGCAAAGUACAAAUUCCCAGUAGCCUCCAGAUACCACCUAAUGAGAUUCAGAGUCUGACCUAUGAGCUUUAUGCCUAUGUGGAUCACUUUGGUGAGCUGAGACAUGGACAUUACACUGUCACAAUCAAGUCCCAGGAAGACAAGAAGUGGUACCACUUUGAUGACACCCUCGUCAAAUUGGGGGAUUUCCAAGAACAAUCUCAAAAUGUUUAUCUGGCGUUCUACAGAAAAGCUUCUGCUAUGGAUGCCCCAGCAGAAAACGUCUCUGAAGUGCCAACUUUGAAAGCUGGCCAGCAAAAUAUGAGUGAAAACAAUGUGAAGUGGGAUUGUGGUGCACAGCCCAAAGCACAGAAGGAUGUGCAGAAGGCAGAGGAGAAUAAAGGGGAAGUGGGAAACGGGUUAGCUGUCCCAUUGAGCAAAGAUAACAGCGGGAUUAGAGCUGAUAAUGACAGUGGAGGGUCAGUGAGUCAUGAGAAGUCUCACAGUCGACAAGAUUUGUCAAAAAACAACCAACACUUACCUGUUCAGGUUCUAAAUGAUUCAAAACCAGAAACUGGUGGACACAGCAGCUUUAAACAAGAAGGCAUACCAAAACAAAAUGGCCUUGAACCAACUCGGAGCAAUAAACAAAUUACAAAUCAACAUAAUAGAGUUGGUGGGAAUCAACAGCACCAUCAAGGUUUUCAGUCAAACAGCAAACGUGAUGAGGAUGCCACAAUAAGUAGCAGUCAGCCGCAAAAGUCUUCUAUGAAAAACAGCAAGAAAGAGAAAAGGAGCGAUUGUAAAAGCAGUCGAACCACAGAAAGGCCAGAAAACCCGUGUGGUGAGAGUAACGCGGGUCAGGACUCUCAGCACUUUAACAAUGUUCCUCAAAACAAGGUUAAGCAAAAUUUGCUGAAGAUUAAUAAAUGUGAACAAGCUGUAUCUAAAAGAUGUGAGCAACAAAAAGCGGAUAAAAGAAAAGUUCCAAAUGAAAACAGAACAGAUGAUGAACAUCUGAAAAAGGGUGAACCAUCCGUAAAACGGAAAUGUAAUCUUUUAGGACAGUCAGAUAUUUCCCUCACAAUUCAAAGUUCACAGUUAAAAAGCAGUAGUAAUACCGUUCCUUGGACUAAAGAGGCUAAAAUGCACAUUCUUCAGACUAACUGGCUCAAUAAAAGUGAAGAGGAGCUUCAAAGGAGCAAGCAAAAUGUUGGAAUGGGGAGCGAAAGAGAGAACGAAGAACCCAAUCCACAUUUUUACACAGGGUCGAAUGAGGAGCAAAAAGGAAACGAGUGUUAUAAGAAUGAUGACAAACAUGAGCAAAAGUUAGAAAAUCCCUGCUGUACAGGUGGAACGAUCCAAAAAACUGUUCAACUUGAAAUGGAAACCAACAGACCACAGAGUGAGCUGGGCCGAGAAAAGCACAUGACUUUGACUCAAGGAACAGAAGUAACUUUAAAGUCCGAAGCACAGUCCGAUCCAAAUAUAGAUGAGGUUCAGUCAAUGUUCAGCAAACUAACUGUGAAAGAUUCAUCAGAGCUAGAGGGAUACGGUGCUGACAACACUGGUGGAAACAAAGACCGUUGUUCUGGGAAACCUGGUUUAACAGAGACACAUCUGGAGAAAAUGACGCGAGACUCGGUGAAGGCAGGUGACAAAAAAGAGGGGUCUGGUGGAAAAAAGAGAACAAACAAAAUGAAGGGAACGGUUUUUAUGGUGGCAGGUCUUAAUGUGCCAAAAAGAUAA
ensembl:lncRNA